GUCAAAGAAGAAGAAGAUACAAAGAGAGAGAGCUACUGAAACUGUCAAGGAAACAUCGUCACUUCAAAAUCUGAAUGAUGGUCAGAUUCAGUUUUGGAGAGGAAAGCCGAGGAGAACAGAGAGCAUUCAAAAUGAUCAACAAGACUUUUCUCUUUGUUUUGAUACUGAUUGCAUCCACCAGCCAGACAGCAGAAGGAAGCCUGAAGCUCCGCUGUCCCAGAAGUGAAAAUUCAAGUGCCCCGACAUCCACCACAGCUGGUCCUACAGCUGGUCCUACAACUGGUCCUACAACUGGUC